CAGCCGCACGGUAAUACGAAGGGUGCAAGCGUUAAUCGGAAUUACUGGGCGUAAAGCGUGCGUAGGCGGUGAGUUAAGUCUGCUGUGAAAUCCCCGGGCUCAACCUGGGAAUGGCAGUGGAUACUGGCUCGCUAGAGUGUGUCAGAGGAUGGUGGAAUUCCCGGUGUAGCGGUGAAAUGCGUAGAGAUGUGGAGGAAUACCGAUGGCGAAGGCAGCCCCCUGGGCCAAUACUGACGCUCAUGCACGAAAGCGUGGGGAGCAAACAGGAUUAGAUACCCCGGUAGUCCCUGUCUCUUAUACA
rnacentral:rRNA from 1 species